UGGGGAUGACGUCAAGUCCUCAUGGCCCUUAUAGGUGGGGCUACACACGUCAUACAAUGGCCGGUACAGAGGGUAGCCAACCCGCGAGGGGGAGCCAAUCCCACAAAGCCGGUCGUAGUCCGGAUCGCAGUCUGCAACUCGACUGCGUGAAGUCGGAAUCGCUAGUAAUCGUGGAUCAGCAUGUCACGGUGAAUACGUUCCCGGGUCCUU
rnacentral:rRNA from 1 species